UUUAUAACGAAGACGAAGACGAGAAUAUCAAAGUUAUUUAAAAGAGACUUAGUGGUUGGUGAAAACUAAGAAUAACUGAUAUUUAUACACUUUCUGAGUUCUAUGUGAAAAGCAUAGACGGUUAGGACCGUUACAUCUAUUAGAGGGCUAGUAUUAGUUUACUAGAAUCAAGGUGGUACCACGGAUUUAAUAGUUCGUCCUUAUU
rnacentral:ncRNA from 1 species